rnacentral:rRNA from 1 species
UGGGGAAUAUUGCACAAUGGAGGGAACUCUGAUGCAGCAACGCCGCGUGCGGGAUGACGGCCUUCGGGUUGUAAACCGCUUUCAGCCAUGACGAAGCUUUUGUGACGGUAGUGGUAGAAGAAGCACCGGCUAACUACGUGCCAGCAGCCGCGGUGAUACGUAGGGUGCGAGCGUUGUCCGGAAUUAUUGGGCGUAAAGAGCUUGUAGGCGGUUUGUCGCGUCGAUAGUGUAAACACGCAGCUUAACUGUGUGCCUGCUGUCGAUACGGGCUGACUAGAGGAGGGUAGGGGAGAAUGGAAUUCCCGGUGGAGCGGUGGAAUGCGCAGAUAUCGGGAGGAACACCAGUGGCGAAGGCGGUGCUCUGGACGUUACCUGACGCAGAGAAGCGAAAGCGUGGGUAGCAAACAGG